rnacentral:rRNA from 1 species
AAAUUCUGCCCUAUGAAUAAUUUAAAUGGCUGCAGUAUUUUAACUGUACAAAGGUAGCAUAAUAAUUAGUUUUUUAAUUGAGGACUGGAAUGAAAGAUUAAAUGAGAAAUUUAUUUUAUUAAAUUUAUUUUUUAAAUUUUAUUUUUAGGUAAAAAAGCUUAAAUUUUUAAUUGGGACGAAAAGACCCUAUAGAACUUUAUUUAAUUUAAUUAGUUUUAAAAUUAAUUUUAUAAAAUUUUUUAUUAUAUUUUUUGUUGGGGUGAUAAAUAAAUUUAUCUUUAUUUAUUUAAUUCAUUAAUUUAUGAUUGUUAUGACUUAUUAUUAUAAUUACAAGAUUUAGUUACCUUAGGGAUAACAGCGUAAUUUUUAUGGGGAGUUCAUAUCUAUAUAAAAGUUUGCGACCUCGAUGUUGAAUUAAGAAUAUCUAUUAAAGAAGUAUUUAAUAAGUUAAGUCUGUUCGACUUUUAAAUUCUU